rnacentral:rRNA from 1 species
UACGUAGGGCGCAAGCGUUGUCCGGAAUUAUUGGGCGUAAAGAGCUCGUAGGCGGUUUGUCACGUCGGAUGUGAAAGCCCGGGGCUUAACCCCGGGUCUGCAUUCGAUACGGGCAGACUAGAGUGUGGUAGGGGAGAUCGGAAUUCCUGGUGUAGCGGUGAAAUGCGCAGAUAUCAGGAGGAACACCGGUGGCGAAGGCGGAUCUCUGGGCCGAUACUGACGCUGAGGAGCGAAAGCGUGGGGAGCGAACAGG